AGUGAACGCUGGCGGUAGGCCUAACACAUGCAAGUCGAACGGCAGCACAGAGGAGCUUGCUCCUUGGGUGGCGAGUGGCGGACGGGUGAGGAAUACAUCGGAAUCUACUCUGUCGUGGGGGAUAACGUAGGGAAACUUACGCUAAUACCGCAUACGACCUACGGGGGAAAGCAGGGGACCUUCGGGCCUUGCGCGAUUGAAUGAGCCGAUGUUGGAUUAGCUAGUUGGCGGGGUAAAGGCCCACCAAGGCAACGGUCCGUAGCUGGUCUGAGAGGAUGAGCAGCCACACUGGAACUGAGACACGGUCCAGACUCCUGCGGGAGGCAGCAGUGGGGAAUAUUGGACAAUGGGCGCAAGCCUGAUCCAGCCAUACCGCGUGGGUGAAGAAGGCCUUCGGGUUGUAAAGCCCUUUUGUUGGGAAAGAAAUCCAGCUGGCUAAUACCCGGUUGGGAUGACGGUACCCAAAGAAUAAGCACCGGCUAACUUCGUGCCAGCCGCCGCCGUAA
rnacentral:rRNA from 1 species